rnacentral:rRNA from 1 species
AGUGAACGCUGGCGGUAGGCCUAACACAUGCAAGUCGAACGGCAGCACAGUAAGAGCUUGCUCUUACGGGUGGCGAGUGGCGGACGGGUGAGGAAUACAUCGGAAUCUACUUUUUCGUGGGGGAUAACGUAGGGAAACUUACGCUAAUACCGCAUACGACCUACGGGUGAAAGCAGGGGGUCUUCGGACCUUGCGCGAUUGAAUGAGCCGAUGUCGGAUUAGCUAGUUGGCGGGGUAAAGGCCCACCAAGGCGACGAUCCGUAGCUGGUCUGAGAGGAUGAUCAGCCACACUGGAACUGAGACACGGUCCAGACUCCUACGGGAGGCAGCAGUGGGGAAUAUUGGACAAUGGGCGCAAGCCUGAUCCAGCCAUACCGCGUGGGUGAAGAAGGCCUUCGGGCUGUAAAGCCCUUUUGUUGGGAAAGAAAAGCAGCAGGUUAAUACCCCGCUGUUCUGACGGUACCCAAAGAAUAAGCACCGGCUAACUUCGUG